AGAUCUCAGACCGGUGCGGUUCGCUUCUUCUAGGUGAAGCUAUACAUGAUAUAACAUUGUUCAAAUGAAAAAAAAAUUAUGAAAGAGAGUCAAGGAUUUAAAGCUCUUCGGGGUUUCCGGCAAACUUCCUCUGUUUUCAGCAACUCCGCCCAUUUUCAGGGACGAGUAAAGUAACAUACUUCAUCACCUCUUCGUGUUCUACACGUGUUUUUUACCCUUGAUUUCAGUCUUCGGUCAAUUUCAGACCACAUAUGUGGCUAUGUUUCUAUAACACAUUAGUCCUGCAGAAGACUUGAGUCAACUGUAUAUGUUUGAAAUUUCAAUGGAGGAAAGAAACCUGGUGUGGAAUUAGUGCCCCCUUUUCCAGGGAUGACUUUGUUUAUGAUAAGAUGGGCAAAUCUGUAGCCUAUAGAAUCAAGCUAUUCACCAUUUUUUUUUUCUCUUCAGUCUUCACAGCAACUUGAGAAACCUUGCCAGACUUGUUCAUUUUAAACUCUCUGCCUCCCAAUUAAAAAAUUUGAGCUAUACUUUGCGGCUUAAAUUAAUGGAGAUCUCAUGCAUGGGUGUGAGGAUUUGGUCAGUAUUCAUGCAACUGUUUCCCCUGAUGAUCAUCACUUUGGCCUCUUCAAAUCUGAGAGGAAAUGAGGUGGAAAGACGGUCCUUGCUUGCCUUUAAAUCUGAAGUAGUCAGUGAUCCUCUGGGCAUCCUUAGCUCCUGGAAUGAUUCCUCCAACUUAUGUGAUGAGUGGCGAGGGAUUACUUGCGGCCGAAGACACCAGCGAGUCACGGUUCUGGACCUCCACUACAGCCAGCUGGAGGGUAUUCUAUCUCCACACAUCGGAAACUUGAGCUUUCUCAGGACAUUAAAUCUCCAAAACAAUAGCUUCAACGGCACCAUCCCUCAAGAAGUUGGUCGAUUGUCUCGGCUGCAACGACUACACCUCGGGGACAACUUCUUCAAAGGUGACAUCCCCAUCAAUAUAUCUCAUUGUUUUAAUCUCCAAUAUCUUGUCUUGGCUAAUAACACUCUUAGUGGGAAACUUCCACUGGAACUUGGCUCAUUGUUCAAGCUUAGAGUACUUACUUUGCGUAGGAACAAUUUAGUUGGGGAAAUUCCAUCUUCUUAUGGAAAUCUUUCUUAUCUUCAAAUUCUUUCUCUGGAAGAAAAUAUUCUGUAUGGUGGUCUCUUGAGUAGCCGCCUUGGGGAAUUAAAAAGCUUAAGACAUCUCGCAUUGGGUUCAAAUAGAUUGACUGGUACCAUCCCUCUCUCCAUAUACAACCUUUCUUCCAUUGAGCACAUUUCUGUGAUUGGAAACCAAUUUCAUGGAACUCUUCCUUCUGGGUUGGGCCGCACAAUAUUUCCAAAACUUCGAACCUUUCAUUUCCAAAUGAACAAUUUCAGAGGACCAAUUCCAUUUAGAAUCUCAAAUGCAUCCCAGCUUUCACAAUUUGGGAUCUCUAUGAAUUAUUUUACCGGAAAAGUUCCUAGUCUUGCAAGAGUGUCCAAUUUGGUUCGCUUGGAAAUGGAUGAUAAUAAUCUGGGAAAUGAGGAUGGUGACUUGGAUUUUCUCUCUUCUCUGGUCAAUUGUACCAGUUUAGAACUUCUGGAUAUUAGUGGGAAUAACUUUCAAGGAGUGCUACCUGAAUCUAUCGGCAAUCUCUCAACAAGUCUCGAGGUAAUGAGCUUAGGAAGGAAUCAGCUAAGCGGAAGCAUUCCCAUUGGGAUUGGAAAUCUCCUCAACUUGGGAGUACUACGCUUCGAGACAAACCUAUUGACAGGCAACAUACCAAAUUCGUUAUGUAAGAUAAGUAAAUUGUACAAUCUGUUUUUAAGUGAUAAUCAGCUAUCAGGUACUAUCCCAACUUGUCUGAAUAAUUUAACUUUGUUAAGUCGCUUAGUUCUCAAUUCAAACAACUUGCAAGGAGGCAUACCGCAGAGUCUUGGCCAAUGCACGAAUCUGUUAGCUUUGGUUCUUUCUCAAAAUAAUCUCACCGGUCUAAUUCCACAAGAAGUCAUCCGUUUACCAUCCCUGUCACUAGUAUUGGAUAUAUCCAGUAACCAUUUUAGUGGUAACAUUCCCAUGGAAGUAGGUUUUUUGUCUAAUCUUGGUAUCUUGAAUCUAGCUGAAAAUAUAUUAUCUGGUGAGAUUCUUCAAAGCUUAGGGGACUGCACAAGUCUAGAAUAUUUGAACCUGAGUGGAAACAUGUUGCAUGGGACAAUUUCUCAAUCAUUGAGUUCUUUGAGAGGCCUUCAAUAUCUUGACCUCUCUCGUAACAAUUUCUCUGGAACAAUUCCCAAUUAUUUGCAGACUUUCCCCUUCUUGCAGAAUUUGAACUUCUCCUUUAAUCAUUUUAGAGGGGAAGUACCCAUAAAAGGUGUUUUCAAGAAUACAAGUGCGGUUUCUUUCUUGGGAAAUGGACGACUUUGUGGACGUGUACCUCAGUUAAGAUUGCCUAUCUGUCCCCCCGAUCUACCUAGGAAGCUGCCUAAGCCAGCUAAUGCAUUAUUUCAUAAGCUGGCUGUUAUCAUAAUUUCUUUUGGGGCCAUUGGAGUUAUUUGGUUAUUGUACUUAAUGCUCCUUUUUAGAUCAACAGAAUCAGGAGUUGAGUCAUCUUCAGAACCAUCCUUGGAUGUUUCAUUCUUAAAAUUGUCAUACAGCGAUCUCCUGAAAGCAACUGAUGGCUUUUCUUCUCGGAAUUUAAUUGGUUCCGGUAGCUCUGGUUCUGUGUUCUGGGGAGUUCUCGAUCAACCUGAAGAAAUAAUUGUUGCUGUGAAAGUACUCAAUCUUCAAAGUUCGAGAGCUUCUAGAAGUUUCAUAUCUGAAUGUGAAGUGUUGAAAAGCAUAAGGCACCGGAAUCUGGUCAGACUGGUGACCGCUUGCUCAAGCAUUGAUUUUCAAGGGAACGAAUUCAAAGCUUUGGUCUUUGAGUUCAUGUUGGAUGGAAAUCUAGAUGAAUGGUUGCACUAUUCAGCUCAAAGAGUGGUUGGGGCCCCAACAGUGCAGCUACAUUUGAAUCUUCUUGAAAGGGUAAAUAUUGCCAUUGACGUAGCUAGUGCUCUGGAUUACUUGCACAAUCGCUUUCACGUCCCAAUAGUUCACUGUGAUUUGAAGCCGAGUAAUGUUCUCCUAGAACAUGACAUGACUGCCUGUGUUUGUGAUUUUGGGUUAGCAACCUACCUCCCAGAUACUUCUUGUCCACUUCCUUCAGUACAGAACCCUUCCAAUUCGAUAAGGGGUACCAUUGGCUAUAUUGCCCCAGAAUAUGGCAUGGGAAGUGCGGUGUCAACAUAUGGGGACGUAUAUAGCUAUGGAAUCCUGUUACUGGAGAUGCUUACUGGUAAGAGGCCAACAGACAACAUGUUUAGAGAUGACAAGAACUUGCACAACUUUGUUCUGAUGGCUUUGCCUGAACAUGUGAAAGAAAUAUGUGAUCCGGUGCUUCUUCAAGAAAAGGAAAGCAGCACUAGUACAAAUCCCGCAAGCAAUAGGAAUGAUGUCCAAAAUGAUGAAACACAGAGAGUUGAAGAGUGCCUUAUUUCCAUUGCUAGGAUAGGAGUUGCUUGUUCUGUGCAUUUGCCCAAAGCGCGAAUGGAGAUUGGGGAAGUUUUAGCUGAAUUACGUGUGAUAAGGGAUGUACUGACUGGAACCGGGAUGCCUAUAGAGCAUAUGAUCACUGCCUAAGGCCUUAGCCGCCGCCAAUGAUUUGUUGUGGGAGAGUCCACAUAGAGCCACGGAUAAACCCGCUUUCACUAUUUGGAAAGUGAAAUUUGCAGAGUUCUGAUUCUGAAAAUCCAAUGGACCGCCUCUUCUUUCAAGACACGUGUUAAGACGGAUUUUAUCAAACAGGUUUCUGCAUCACCCACCAAAACCUUGAUGAAUACACCUGCUCUGAUUUCAACAGCACCAUAUUUUCUGCCUAAUUUUCUCCUGCAAAAUUCAAAAUGUAA